GGCAGACAGCAGCUUUGUGGCAGAGGUUGUUCUCAUGUUCGUAGACAGAAGUAGACAACAUGGCUGAACCUUCAAAGGCCUGUCCUAGUGGCCUUCUUCUACCAGGUCCCACACCAUAAAGGCUUAACAGCCUCAGCCUAGCUCCACAAGGGUCUGGGAGACGAUUCAACAGGCAUCUUUCCCAGUAAAUUUCCAUGUCACAACUCCACCACAACAAGAGCUAACACUGACACAUGUUGUACGCUUAGAACUUGCAUCUGUGCUAAUUCCACUACUGGAGAGACCUCACACUAAUGGAUUCCUGCAGUGCCCAGCUUGUUCUGCUGGGCAUAGUAUCAUCCUCACGUUUAUCUAUAUACUGUAUAUGUCAGAAUUUUCUUCUUUUAAAAACAGAAACAAUA